rnacentral:tRNA from 1 species
ACUUAAAUAGCUUAUUUAGAGCAAAACAUUGAAGAUGUUUAGGAGAUAAAUUAUCUUUGGGUA